AACGAACGCUGGCGGCGUGCUUAACACAUGCAAGUCGAACGCGAAAGGGGGGGCAACUCCCUGAGUAGAGUGGCGCACGGGUGAGUAACGCGUGGGUAACCUACCCUAAUGUGGGGGAUAACUACUCGAAAGGGUGGCUAAUACCGCAUGAGACCACGGAGUCCUCGGGCUCUGAGGCCAAAGAUUGCACCGGCUUGCCGGUGCCGUCGCAAUAGGAUGGGCCCGCGUACGAUUAGCUAGUUGGUGAGGUAAUGGCUCACCAAGGCUACGAUCGUUAGCUGGUCUGAGAGGAUGGCCAGCCACACUGGAACUGGAACACGGUCCAGACUCCUACGGGAGGCAGCAGUGAGGAAUAUUGCGCAAUGGGGGAAACCCUGACGCAGCAACGCCGCGUGGGUGAAGGAGGCCUUCGGGUCGUAAAGCCCUUUCGGACGGGACGAACGCCUUGCGGGGAAACUCGUGAGGCCUGACGGUACCGUAAGAAGAAGCACCGGCUAACCCCGUGCCAGCCGCCGCGGUAAUAC
rnacentral:rRNA from 1 species